rnacentral:rRNA from 1 species
UGAAUACGAGACGCUACGGCGUCGAAGCAGUCUAUGUCAUACUUCCAAGAAAAGCUUGCACUGUCAUAAACAAAUAAUGCCUGUACCAUAACCGACACAGGUGGGUAGGUAGAGUAUACUAAGGGGCGCGAGAUAACUCUCUCUAAGGAACUCGGCAAAAUGACUCCGUAACUUCGGGAGAAGGAGUGCCUUAUUUAUAAGGUUGCAAUAACAAGAUCCAAGCAACUGUUUAUCAAAAACACAGGUCUCCGCUAAGUCGUAAGACGAUGUAUGGGGGCUGACGCCUGCCCAGUGCCAGAAGGUUAAAGAAGUUGGUUAGCAUUAGCGAAGCUGAUAACUGAAGCCCUGGUGAACGGCGGCCGUAACGAUAACGGUCCUAAGGUAGCGAAAUUCCUUGUCGGGUAAGUUCCGACCCGCACGAAAGGCGUAAUGAUUUGGAUACUGUCUCGGAGAGGGGCUCGGUGAAAUAGACUUGUCUGUGAAGAUGCGGACUACCUGCACCUGGACAGAAAGACCCUAUGAAGCUUUACUGUAACCUGAAAUUGAAAUUGGACUUUAUUUGCGCAGUAUAGGUGGGAGGCGUUGAGAAUAUUCUUGCGGGAAUAUUGGAGCCAUCAGUGAGAUACCACUCUUGUAAUGUUAGAUUUCUAACUUUGAAUCAUUAUCUGGUCAAAGAACAGUUUCAGGCGGGCAGUUUGACUGGGGCGGUCGCCUCCUAAAUGGUAACGGAGGCGCACAAAGGUUUCCUCUGAACGGGUAGAAAUCGUAUCUAGAGUGUAAAGGCAUAAGGAAGCUUGACUGUGAGACCUACAAGUCGAGCAGGGACGAAAGUCGGUCUUAGUGAUCUGACGGUGCUGAGUGGAAAGGCCGUCACUCAACGGAUAAAAGUUACUCUAGGAUAACAGGCUGAUCUCCCCCAAGAGUUCACAUCGACGGGGAGGUUUGGCACCUUGAUGUCGGCUCAUCGCAUCCUGGGGCGGUAGUACGUCCCAAGGGUUGGGCUGUUCGCCCAUGAAAGCGGUACGCGAGCUGGGUUCAGAACGUCGUGAGACAGUUCGGUCCAUAUCCGGUGUAGGCGUUAGAAUAUUGAGAGGAGCCUUCUUUAGUACGAGAGGACCGAGAAGGACAUACCUCUGGUGUACCAGUUAUCGUGCCAACGGUAAACGCUGGGUAGCUAUGUAUGGAGAGGAUAACCGCUGAAAGCAUCUAAGUGGGAAGCCCACCUCAAGAUAAGUAUUCC